UACGUAGGGGGCAAGCGUUGUCCGGAAUCAUUGGGCGUAAAGAGCGUGUAGGCGGCCAGAUAAGUCCGCUGUGAAAUCUCGAGGCUCAACUUCGAGCUGUCGGUGGAAACUGUCUGGCUAGAGUCCGGAAGAGGAGAAUGGAAUUCCUGGUGUAGCGGUGAAAUGCGCAGAUAUCAGGAAGAACACCCGUGGCGAAGGCGGUUCUCUGGGACGGUACUGACGCUGAGACGCGAAAGCGUGGGGAGCGAACAGGAUUAGAA
rnacentral:rRNA from 1 species